rnacentral:rRNA from 1 species
CCUACGGGUGGCUGCAGUGGGGAAUAUUGGACAAUGGGGGAACCCUGAUCCAGCCAUGCCGCGUGUGUGAAGAAGGCCCUCGGGUUGUAAAGCACUUUCAGUGAGGAAGAACGCCUGGUGGUUAAUACCCAUCAGGAAAGACAUCACUCACAGAAGAAGCACCGGCUAACUCCGUGCCAGCAGCCGCGGUAAUACGGAGGGUGCGAGCGUUAAUCGGAAUUACUGGGCGUAAAGCGCGCGUAGGUGGCUUGAUAAGCCGGUUGUGAAAGCCCCGGGCUCAACCUGGGAACGGCAUCCGGAACUGUCAAGCUAGAGUGCAGGAGAGGAAGGUAGAAUUCCCGGUGUAGCGGUGAAAUGCGUAGAGAUCGGGAGGAAUACCAGUGGCGAAGGCGGCCUUCUGGACUGACACUGACACUGAGGUGCGAAAGCGUGGGUAGCAAACAGGAUUAGAUACCCUAGUAGUC